UUCUCUAACAACAGGAAAAUUAGUUUCAAUUAAAAAGGAGAAGAUACAAACUGAAGAAGAGUCUUCAAAGGAGGAAAAAAUACCCAACAUUCAUUUAUUGAAAGGUUGAUGAGGUGGUUAGUGGAGAAGAUGCAUGAUCUCGCCUGCCAUAGACUACUUCUGGAGACAGUGCUGCUUCUCAGAUGAAAGCGCAGGGGCCAGCCACACAGUUCAGCAUAUUGCUCCAAUCAAAGCUGCCACGAGCAUGACCCGUUUUCAAAUUAGAACAAAGUGUCUCGGAAAAACGUGACAGUUGCUAAAGGAAUAUUGCUGCUGUUGCUAUGAAGGAUGACCCUUGGAAUCUGACAACCUGCUAAUAUACAAAUCUGAAGGGAAGCUCUGCACCACGUUUACCUGCAUUUUACACACUGGAUCUUUGAGAUACGUCUUUGUGACAGUGUAUUUUGUUCUGUGCUUAGGAUUUUUUUAAACACCAUUAUAUAUCAAAGUUAGUUCCCAAGAUUCUGUCAAACCCAAGCAUCGCCCUUUAGCAUGAUGAAGAAAUGGAACCCAAAAUGGCCCAGCACAGAUGAGGAGUUUGGCUUAUACACAACGGAGCAGGCUUGAUUCUCAGUGGCUCCCAUUCAUGUCUCUGGGUUACAGUAAAUGGUCCACAGAUCUUGGGAACCUUUGGGAGAACAACCCCACUUGCUGGGAUCACAAUGGAUAAUGAUUACUCCACAAUUACUGCAGUGUCUGAUGUGGAGGUGUCCAGCAACUCUUCUUACGUGGUUAGGUUGGAUCAAUUCCAGUUUGUGACUCCUGAGGAAGUGGAUAUGUUGUUUGGAAUGGUGCGGCCUAUCACCUGUUCUCUUGACCCCUGCCCAACAUGGCUUAUACUAUCUAGAAGUAGGGUUGUUGUAGAAGGCCUGGUAGAUAUUGUAAAUGCUUCUCUGAGGGAGGACAGGAUGCCUCCUUGUCUUUUUAAAAAGGCAAUCAUUAGAUCUCUCCUGAAGAAGCCUGCGUUGGAUCUCUCAGAGUCAAGCAACUAUAGGCCUGUCUCCAGCCUUCCAGGGAUGGGCAAGGUAACUGAGAGGGUGGUGGCCUCCCAGCUCCAGACAGUCUUGGAGGAAACUGAUUAUCUAGACCCAUUUCAGACUGGCUUCCAUGUGGCUAUGGGGUGGAGACUGCCUUGGUUGGCCUGAUGGAUGACCUCCAAUUGGGAAUUGACAGAGAGAGUGUGACUCUGUUGGUCCUUUUGGGUUUCUCGGUGGCUUUUGGUACAAUUGGCCAUAGUAUCCUUCUGGAGUGUCUGAGGAGGUUGGGUGGGAGGUUCUGCUUUGCAGUCAUUCUGCUCCUGCCUUUUAGACAGAUUCUAGAUGGUAUCCCUUGGAGACUGUGGCUCUUCAAAAUGUAAACUUUUAUAUGGUAUCCCUCAGAGCUCCAUACUAUCUCCAAUGCUUUUUAACAUCUACAUGAAACCUCUGGGAGAGAUCAUCAGGAGAUUUGGUGCUGAUGACACCCAAAUCUAUUUCUCCAUGUAGACAUAAUCAGAUAAUCAGGUUAAGGCAUAACCUCCUUAAAUGUCUGCCCGGACGCAGUGAUGGGUUGGAUGAGGGAUAAUAAACUGAGACUGAAUCCAAAUAAGAUGGAGGUACUUAUUGUGUGGGGUCAGAACUCAGGAGAUGAUUUUAAUCUUUCGGUUCUGGAUGGGGUCACACUUCCACAGAAGGAAUAGGUACGCAGUAUGGGAGUGCUUCUGGAUCCAAACCUCUCCCUGAUAUCUCAGGUUGAGGCAGUGAUCAGAGAUAAAUGACCUUAGAACAGAGGUACAUAUGUUGGUGUGUUCUAUGUGGGCCUGGCUUUGUACAUAGUUCAUAAACUGCAGUUGAUACAGAAUGCAGCAGCCAGGUUUGUCUCUGGGUCAUCUUGGAGAGAUCAUAUUACUCCUAUACCAAAAGAGCUACACUAGUUACCAAUAUGUUUCCGGGCUAGGUGCCGGUUAUAAUCUCUAAACCCUAAACAGCUUAGGCCCUGGGUAUUUAAGACAAUGAAGCUAUUCCCAUGAUCAGUAGAAGGCGGGCUAAGGGAGCAUAGCCUGCUUUCUACUGAUUGUGGGAACCACCAGUCUCGUGUGGCGAGCCCGGUGGUUCCAAGGCGGCUAGCCCGCCUAAUUCCCCCUCCCCUUAAAUGAGGUUAACGGAGCAAGUGCCCCGUUAACCUCAUUUUUUUUUUGCUCGUGUGCUGCUGUGGCGUGUGGCAACAGUGAGUAGACCCCCUGACCGGGAGGCUGCAGCCAGCCUCCCCGCCUCAGGGGUCUCUCCAGAAUGCCUUGCACGCUCACGUGGGGCAUCUUAGAACUUCCGGGGGGGCUGCACAGCCCCCGAUCCCCACAGCCCCCACCGGCUCUGAGACGGAGCCGGUAGUUGUGUGGGUGGCUGAUGUGGCCACCCAGGGCUGCAGGCAUAAUCGUCUGCGGGGAGAGCAGGCUAAGCUUUCUAAUCCCGCUCUCCCCGCAGUGCUUGGUAAGGUGCUUCACACGAAUCAUGUGAAGUGCCUCAAUGUUUUCUUCGCCAUGAGCCCCACUGCCCAUUGAGGCCAUCCAAACAAGUUUGGUUGCAGUUGCCACCAGCUAGUCUGGUGGCUACACAGAGACAGGCCUUCUCUCUUGUUGCCCGGAGACUCUGGAAUGUUCUCCCUGCUGAACUAAGCAGCUCCACAUCUCUGACAACUUUUUAAAAGUCUUUAAGAACUUAUUUUUUCACCCAAGCUCUUUAACUGGAUUGUGGUUUUAAAUUGUUUUAAGGUUUUCAUUUUUGUCUUAAUUUGUUUUAUGUUGUAAACUGCCUAGAGAGGGAAGAUUGGAGUGGUUUAUGAAUUUGAUAAACCAACAAAUAAACUAAUUCUGGCCAUGCUGCAGUCACUUCAGCGCUUGACUACUGUAACAUGCUGUAGUGGCUGCCCUUGGAAAGUGUUGGGAGUCAGCAAGUGAUCCAAACUGCUGAGGCCAGGCUGCUUGGGGAAGGGUAAUGUAGGGGAUCAUGUGAUUCUACCCCGCUUUGUAUUGGCUGCAUUUCUGGGCUUAUUUCAAGGUGCUGGGUGUUAAAACCCCAAAUGGUUUAAAGCCCUAUAAUACUUUGCCCAUGCCACCGUGUUCAGUGAAUCAAAGAGGGGGACAUUGUACUAUAGGUUUAAAAAAUGAUUGCUAACAUGGCUGCCCCUGUUGUACCUAAGGCAGGGCUGCUCAACUUCGGCCCUCCUGCAGAUGUUGGCCUACAAUUCCCAUAAUCCCUGGCUAUUGGCCACUGUGUCUGGGAAUUGUGGGAGUUGUAGUUCAAAAACAGCUGGGGGGCCUAAGUUGAGCAGGCCUGACCUAAGGGGACCUGCAAAGCCAUUUGCAAACCUGGCACUGUCCUUCAGUGGCUGGCUCUCAUCACCUGGUUAAAAUGUUUAUAUCUGUGCAGGUAUUUCUAGGUGGAGUAAUUGUGGGCAUUGUAUUUCUAGGUGGAGUAAUUGUGGGCAUUGUAUUUCUAGGUGGAGUGAUUGUAUUUCUAGGUAUUUCUAGGUGGAGUGAUUGUUGACAUUGUUUUCUGGCUCCUAUGGCAUCUGAAUUGCUCUUAUGAUUAUUGUUUUUUAUUGAUCUUGUCUGUUUUAUAUCUUAUCUAUAUACUGGAACGUUUUACAGCACUGAUCAUGAUAAUAAAGGUAUUCGUUUUUAAGAA